GAUCCACUGGGCGUAAAGGGCGUGUAGGCGGCUUUGCAAGUCAGGGGUGAAAUGUCUCGGCUCAACCGAGGACCUGCCUUUGAAACUGCGGAGCUUGAGGCCGUGAGAGGAGACUGGAAUUCCUAGUGUAGCGGUGAAAUGCAUAGAUAUUAGGAAGAACACCAGUGGCGAAGGCGAGUCUCUGGCACGGUUCUGACGCUGAGGCGCGAAAGCCAGGGGAGCGAACGGGAUUAGGUACCCCGGUAGUCCUGGCCGUAAACGAUGGGUACUAAAUGUCGGCCGAUCGACCCGGUCGGUGUUGCAGCUAACGCGUUAAGUACCCCGCCUGGGGAGUACGACCGCAAGGUUG
rnacentral:rRNA from 1 species